rnacentral:lncRNA from 1 species
AGGGGUAAGUGUCACAUAAAAGAUAUAUGAAAUAAUAAUAGUGACAAGGAUAACUAAUCUGAUCUAGCCACAUAAUAAAUAUGAUAAGCACCUCAAUUAGAUACUCUAGAAAGUCAUUAGCAUGGUAUUAGAACGAACUACAAGAAUAUUCCCUAAGUUAUUCUCAACUAUAUAGUUUAGCAUUAUCAUAGUUAGUGCAGGCAUACUUAGCAAUCAUUGCAAGACAAGACUACGCCC